AGCGAACGCUGGCGGCAGGCCUAACACAUGCAAGUCGAACGAACCUUUCGGGGUUAGUGGCGGACGGGUGAGUAACACGUGGGAACGUGCCUUUAGGUUCGGAAUAACUCAGGGAAACUUGUGCUAAUACCGAAUGUGCCCUUCGGGGGAAAGAUUUAUCGCCUUUAGAGCGGCCCGCUUCUGAUUAGCUAGUUGGUUGAGGUAAUGGCUCACCAAGGCGACGAUCAGUAGCUGGUCUGAGAGGAUGAUCAGCCACAUUGGGACUGAGACACGGCCCAAACUCCUACGGGAGGCAGCAGUGGGGAAUCUUGCGCAAUGGGCGAAAGCCUGACGCAGCCAUGCCGCGUGAAUGAUGAAGGUCUUAGGAUUGUAAAAUUCUUUCACCGGGGACGAUAAUGACGGUACCCGGAGAAGAAGCCCCGGCUAACUUCGUG
rnacentral:rRNA from 1 species